rnacentral:rRNA from 1 species
UGUGAACUCGAAGAGUAGGGCGGGACACGUGGUAUCCUGUCUGAAUAUGGGGGGACCAUCCUCCAAGGCUAAAUACUCCUGACUGACCGAUAGUGAACCAGUACCGUGAGGGAAAGGCGAAAAGAACCCCGGCGAGGGGAGUGAAAAAGAACCUGAAACCGUGUACGUACAAGCAGUGGGAGCACCUUCGGGUGUGACUGCGUACCUUUUGUAUAAUGGGUCAGCGACUUAUAUUCUGUAGCAAGGUUAACCGUAUAGGGGAGCCGCAGGGAAACCGAGUCUUAACUGGGCGUUAAGUUGCAGGGUAUAGACCCGAAACCCGGUGAUCUAGCCAUGGGCAGGUUGAAGGUUGGGUAACACUAACUGGAGGACCGAACCGACUAAUGUUGAAAAAUUAGCGGAUGACUUGUGGCUGGGGGUGAAAGGCCAAUCAAACCGGGAGAUAGCUGGUUCUCCCCGAAAGCUAUUUAGGUAGCGCCUCGUGAAUUCAUCUUCGGGGGUAGAGCACUGUUUCGGCUAGGGGGUCAUCCCGACUUACCAACCCGAUGCAAACUACGAAUACCGAAGAAUGUUAUCACGGGAGACACACGGCGGGUGCUAACGUCCGUCGUGAAGAGGGAAACAACCCAGACCGCCAGCUAAGGUCCCAAAGUCAUGGUUAAGUGGGAAACGAUGUGGGAAGGCACAGACAGCCAGGAUGUUGGCUUAGAAGCAGCCAUCAUUUAAAGAAAGCGUAAUAGCUCACUGGUCGAGUCGGCCUGCGCGGAAGAUGUAACGGGGCUAAACCAUGCACCGAAGCUGCGGCAGCGAC